rnacentral:rRNA from 1 species
CCAAUAGCGUAUAUUAAAGUUGUUGCAGUUAAAAAGCUCGUAGUUGAAUUUCGGGAUCUAUCCGUCGGUCGGGCCUCACGGUCCGCACUGGUGUGAUGGAUUCCUACCUUCUGAACAGCCGGUAUGCCAUUAAUUUGAUGUGCCGGGGAAGCAGAACCAUUACCUUGAAAAAAUUAGAGUGCUCAAAGCAGGCCUAUGCCUGAAUACAUUAGCAUGGAAUAAUAAAAUAGGACGGCAUGGUUCUAUUUUGUUGGUUUCUAGGAUCACCGUAAUGAUUAAUAGGGAUAGUUGGGGGCAUUAGUAUUCAAUUGUCAGAGGUGAAAUUCUUGGAUUUAUUGAAGACUAACUUCUGCGAAAGCAUUUGCCAAGGAUGUUUUCAUUAAUCAAGAACGAAAGUUAGGGGAUCGAAGACGAUCAGAUACCGUCGUAGUCUUAACCAUAAACUAUGCCGACUAGGGAUCGGACGAUGUUAAUUUUAUAAUGACUCGUUCGGCGCCUUACG